rnacentral:tRNA from 1 species
CAAAUUAGAGCUUGAAUAAAGUGUUUUAUUUACAUUAAAAAGUUAAUUGUGAAAGUCAAUUUAAUUUGA